GAUUAUAGGCAAACAGCGGGAGCCAGCCGGUGGAUCCUAUUUUUCUGCAGCGAUGGAUUCUUUUUGUUUCACAUCGUCUACCUUCAAUGUCCGGUUCCAUCGGCUUUCACCGAUCGUGCGUGCUCCUUCGAGAACUUCCUCUUCUAUCCAGCUGCCACGUAUCUUCUUGCGUGGCUAUUCCCUCGGUUUGCCCUUCUUCGUGCGCCUGAUUCUCGGCCUCUCCGUUUUACACCGCUUCCUCGGUUCCUAUGUCCAUGUUUCCCCACAUCCGAGAGUUUUAGUACGAGUCGGGAUGCUGCUCCUGGCCGUUGGGCGACGACGGCCGGUUCCAUCGCCGCCGCCGCUCCUUCCACUCCUGCCGCGGCGCCCUGCUUCUCAUGGUUUACCUCCUCCUCUUCCUCACCUGCCGCCUUUGCUGAUGCCUUCGCCUUCCAUGACAACGGCUUCCUUGCCAGUUGCUUUGCCUCCGUCUUCAACACCGCAUCGCCGACAUGGCCUGGGUGAGGUGCUUCAUCGGCCGGCAGGCCGGGGUUCCUGCGGUCGCGGAUGAGUCUCCCCUGCUGCCUUGCGUUCUGUUGCCGCCCAGCUCUUGAUUCAGUUGCUGUUGCUCCCUCCGAUCGUCCACCUUCUGGACUUCAUGCUGGUUCUCUGCCUGCCAUGCAACCUAUCCAAGGCGUAGGCUGGGGAUCAGUUCGUCGUGGCCAGCCUCCUGCCUCUCAUUUACUGUCUGAUGCCGAAUCUCGGAGGCGGGACAUAAGUUUAGAAAAGCGCCCUAUCGAGGAGGUUCCUGACGCUGCUGUCGGCGGAAAUUUGCAUAAGUGGCAAUGCAGGAAACCUCAGUAAGAAAUAUCAAACCUCGAGGAUCUCUGAAGCGUGCCAUUGUCCGCAUCUCAAGGUCAUGGGAGAACCGGAACAAAGACCAAGAACUCUAUGAGAUAGGGUUCAUGAUCGUUGAUCAACUGGUCACCACCAUAGAGGUUCCCUACUUGCAGACCGUAUGGAUGAGUUCAGGGACAAACUAAAAGAAGGCAGGGUAUACAUGAUAGAGUCCUUCAUGAUCAUUGGCCCCCGGCCCAACUAUAGAGCAAUAGAUCACUACCAUAGGUUCCGAAUUUCCCAAAACACAAAAAUAAGUGAAAUCCUGCCUGAACCUGAGAACUUCCCUCUGUAUGCAUAUGAUGCUAAAUCUUUUGAUGAUAUCCGGCCACGCGUGGAUAAGGCAGUGCUCCUAUCAGAUGUUGUUGGAGUGGCUACGAUGCUAUCAGAUGUCAUUCCAUCAAAUACAGGGUAUCAAUCAAGAAGACACAUAUACAUAGAAAACGAAAGCAAUGAGCUAGCCAUGGUCACCUUAUGGGGAGAACAAGCCGAAAAACUGAAGCAGAAGACAUUCAACAGAUUUCUCUGCAGGAAAACGUGUUCAUGCUGUUCAUGGGAACAAAUGUUACCCUAUUUAAAGGAAUGCUAGGCUUCAAAAGCACUUCACUAACUCGCUGGCACGUGAACAUACUCAUUCCUCAAAUAGAAGCUCUCCGCAAUAGAUUGGGAAGAGACUUUGUGGCUGGAAAAAGUGAAGCAACUCAGACAACUCUUUACGACCUAUGCAAGCAAGACAGCGAUACUAUCAUGGUAAGCUUUUACCUAUAGCUACAUUGUACAAACCAGAUAAGCACAGUGUCAGCAACCAGUUAAGACACAUAGACACAAAAAUUAACUAGCACAAAAUUUUGGAGGGUAACAAAUACAAGCUAAACAUAACGGUCACCAGUGUGAACGAUAUGAUCAAUUGGUGGUUCCAUUCUUGCAAAUUAUGUUGGAAAAAUGAUCCAGGCCGGAGUUUCUCGCAAAUGCCCUACGUGCCGUACCCCAGACUAACGCUACAGGUAUAAGCUGAAGGUGAGUGCAGUAGAUACGGAGCCAAACGCUGAAAACCUACCGGUCACUGGGCACCUCACAUUCCUUGGUACCUGCACCGAGGCUUUCACGGGAAAAAAAGCAGAUCUUCUUGCUCCACUUACUAAAGGCCGUCCUAAUUAUGUCCAUCCUGCCAUUACUGCUGCAAUUGGCAAGAAGUGCACUGUCACUACGGAGGUAGACCAGGAAACCUACGAUGCUGAUCCUGGAACAGUAUUCCUUACCGCGUCGAAGGCCCAGCUGAUCACUGACUCAUUGCCACCAGUGGAACCUUCUAUCCGCACUAGCCCUGUAACAACUGAUAAGGUGAUUGCACCAACUGACGACCACCCAGAAGUAAGCAUCUCCCAGGCAACGCCUCCGAAAGAAAUAAUUGAACCAACCGAUGCUAACGAAGAGGAGGUAAACAGUAAUUGAACCACUAGGCUGUGUAAUUCUCUAUAAUCAACUGAUCCGGCAACUUCUAAUGUACUCUUCCACCAGGCCAUGGGUAAGUGAACUAACCUUUGCUCUCCCAGGUAAAAAUAAAACCCACCACAGAAUUGUGUUUUCCACAUAUUAUUGUAUUGAAGUACUCAUCAUGUAUCUUAUAUUGAUUACAGACUACCGUCGGAGAACAGGAUUAGAAUAAGCACACCACCAAGACGACCAGGAAAAUGAACGAACCACUCUCCUGCAAAUGAAACUUCUUACCAACCUUUUACCUUAGCCUUGCAUACCUAAGACUCUGUAUGUAAAAGUUUGCUGUUCGGACCUCCAGCACUAUUGUCUAUGUAUAAUUAUCCAGUAUGUAAACCUUUGUCAAAUUUUAUGUACCUGAAGACUUAUUGGGAUAGCAACUUACUAAGUAUGUUACGUAGUUAAA